CAAGUCGAGCGAGGCGGGGUAGCAAUACCCCAGUCGAGCGGCGAACGGGUGAGUAACGCGUGGAUAACCUGCCCAGAGGUGGGGGAUAACCCGGGGAAACUCGGGCUAAUACCGCAUGAUACCGAGAGGUCAAAGGGGGGCCGCAAGGUCUCUCGCCAUUGGAGGGGUCCGCGUCCGAUUAGCUAGUUGGUAGGGUAAUGGCCUACCAAGGCGACGAUCGGUAGCCGGCCUGAGAGGGUGAUCGGCCACACUGGAACUGAGACACGGUCCAGACUCCUACGGGAGGCAGCAGUGGGGAAUUUUGCGCAAUGGGCUAACGCCUGACGCAGCAACGCCGCGUGGAGGAUGAAGGUCUUUGGAUUGUAAACUCCUGUCAGCGGGGAAAAAGCGACCGGUGCUCAUACCGCCGGGAGUUGAUUGUACCCGCAGAGGAAGCCCCGGCUAACUCUGUGCCAGCAGCCGCGGUAAUACAGAGGGGGCAAGCGUUAUUCGGAAUUAUUGGGCGUAAAGGGCGCGUAGGCGGCUUCGCAAGUGGAAGGUGAAAUCCCUCGGCUUAACCGAGGAACUGCCCUCCAAACUGCGUUGCUUGAGGCCGGGAGAGGUGAGUGGAAUUCCCAGUGUAGCGGUGAAAUGCGUAGAUAUUGGGAGGAACACCAGUGGCGAAGGCGGCUCACUGGACCGGUUCUGACGCUGAGGCGCGAAAGCGUGGGGAGCAAACGGGAUUAGAUACCCCGGUAGUCCACGCCGUAAACGAUGAGUGCUUGGUGUAGCGGGUAUCGACCCCUGCUGCGCCGAAGUCAACACAUUAAGCACUCCGCCUGGGGAGUAC
rnacentral:rRNA from 1 species